GUUAGGGUUAGGGUUAGGGUUAGGGUUAGGGUUAGGGUUAGGGUUAGGGUUAGGUUAAGAGCCAUCUACCACUUUUGAAAAACGGUUUUUUUGGGCUAGUUCGAGAACCGAGUGGAUCAUGGGAAUUCUUUUACCACCCACGGAUAGGUCUAGGCCCAGCGGACUUGCUCAAAAAAUGUGGCGCCCCUGGUGUUUUUUUUUGGGUACUGCAAUUUCAAUUUUUAAGUUUAAAAGUGAAGCGUUUUUUUUUUUUUAUUGGAUCAUGGGAAUUCUGAAUAGUGCCAGUUGUAGCCCUUGGUCCCCU
ensembl:lncRNA